GCCCGGCUAGCUCAGUCGGUAGAGCAUGAGACUUUUAAUCUCAGGGUCGUUGGUUCGAGCCCAACGUUGGGCG
rnacentral:tRNA from 1 species